UGCGUAGGCGGCCGGGUAAGUCUGUUGUGAAAUCUCCAAGCUUAACUUGGAAACUGCAGUGGAUACUAUCCGGCUAGAGGAAUGGAGGGGAGACUGGAAUACUUGGUGUAGCAGUGAAAUGCGUAGAUAUCAAGUGGAACACCAGUGGCGAAGGCGAGUCUCUGGACAUUUCCUGACCGCUGAGGACGAAAGCCAGGGGAGCAAACG
rnacentral:rRNA from 1 species